UACGUAGGUGGCAAGCGUUGUCCGGAUUUACUGGGCGUAAAGAGCGCGCAGGCGGUCGUUCAAGUCGCGUGUGAAAGCCCCCGGCUCAACUGGGGAGGGUCACGCGAUACUGAUCGACUCGAAGGCAGGAGAGGGUAGUGGAAUUCCCGGUGUAGUGGUGAAAUGCGUAGAUAUCGGGAGGAACACCAGUGGCGAAGGCGACUACCUGGCCUGUUCUUGACGCUGAGGCGGCGAAAGCUAGGGGAGCAAACGGGG
rnacentral:rRNA from 1 species